AAAAACCCUAGCCCCCUUUUACUCAGAAACGCGCCGCAAUCAACCCUCGUCCCUUCCGAUCUCUUACCACCAUGAAGCGGACUAGGAUUCGAUGACUCGACGGUUUCGACACACAGGUAAGCCUCUUUUCCUCUCCGCUGCCUUGAAAGCCUGAACUCUCCUCUCUCUCAUUCUGAUUCGGACGGAGUAGAGGAUGGCUCCAAUGGCGCGCAAAGGUGAGGUUCCUCUUCCCUUUUUUCUUUUAUUUCAUGUUAUUUAUGAACUGAGUAAAAAGAACAAAGAAAAGUAAAAAAAAAAAUCAAAAAUCACCUUACGAAACUCUGUUUUUCCUUUAUUUUUGAAUAUCUCUUGUUUUUUUAUUUUCGUAUUGAUGUUGUGUAAAAAAAAAUCCUUUUUACAAAUCUUGAUGGCUUUUAUAGCCGGAAAUACAAAAGAAAUCCCUCUAUUUUUUUGUUGUUAUCCUCUGGCCUUUUUCUGCGUUUUGCUAUUGUUUUGUGCGUGGUUGCUGCUUGCGCUCUUUGUGCGUGGCAGAUGCAGAGGGUACAGAGGCGCACGUGAGAGGAACGACUUGAAGGUGCGGUUCGUGCGAGGGCAGAGCCUGUAGUGCUGGAGGCACGUGUGUAGGGAAACGGCGCUGGGAGCUUCUAGGGUUCCCUGCCUCUGAUUUUUGUUUUGGGCUGUAUGGUGAUUGGGCUAGGGUUUAAUGGGUAAUUCGGGUUAGGUUUAGUUAGCAUUUCGGGUUAGGGUAUUUUAUUUCUAUCUGUAAUUGGGUUUUAGACAAAAUUUGGGCCAAAUUUUGUAGUCUGUACUAUGCUAAUUGGACCUUUAUUUAUGUGAUAUUUUUUUUAUAUAUUGGCUUUAACAAUUGGGCUCGGGCCGGGAAAAAAUGGGCUCUUACAUUAACCUUCUACCUGUAUAAUACAAAAAACAAGAGAAUAACUUUUAUGAUUUUUUUUUU
rnacentral:lncRNA from 1 species